rnacentral:rRNA from 1 species
UACAGAGGGUGCAAGCGUUAAUCGGAAUUACUGGGCGUAAAGCGUGCGCAGACGGUCUCGUAAGUCGGGUGUGAAAUCCCCGGGCUCAACCUGGGAAUUGCAUUCGAAACUGCGAGGCUAGGGUACGGAAGAGGGAAGCGGAAUUUCUGGUGUAGCGGUGAAAUGCGUAGAUAUCAGAAGGAACAUCAGUGGCGAAAGCGGCUUCCUGGUCCAGUACCGACGUUCAGGCACGAAAGCGUGGGGAGCAAACAGG